rnacentral:rRNA from 1 species
UACGGUGGGGGCAAGCGUUGUUCGGAAUUACUGGGCGUAAAGAGCUCGUAGGCGGCUUGUCACGUCGGAUGUGAAAUCCCUCGGCUCAACUGAGGAACUGCACGGGAAACUGCUUGGCUUGAGUUCGGGAGAGGGAAGCGGAAUUCCGGGUGUAGCGGUGAAAUGCGUAGAUAUCCGGAGGAACACCGGUGGCGAAGGCGGCUUCCUGGACCGACACUGACGCUGAGGCGCGAAAGCUAGGGGAGCAAACGGG